rnacentral:rRNA from 1 species
UGCGAGUCGUACGAGAACGGGCCUUAGCUUGCUAAGAUUGUCAGCUAAGUGGCGCACGGGUGAGUAAUAUAUAGUUAACCUGCCCUAGAGAGAGGGAUAACGUUUGGAAACGGACGCUAACACCUCAUAUGCCUUUAAGUCAAAAGACUGCAAGGGAAACAUUUAUGGCUCUAGGAUGGGACUGUACGGUAUCAGUUAGUUGGUGAGGUAAUGGCUCACCAAGACAAUGACACCUAACUGGUUUGAGAGGAUGAUCAGUCACACUGGAACUGAGACACGGUCCAGACUCCUACGGGAGGCAGCAGUGGGGAAUAUUGCACAAUGGACGAAAGUCUGAUGCAGCAACGCCGCGUGGAGGAUGACACAUUUCGGUGCGUAAACUCCUUUUAUAUAGGAAGAUAAUGACGGUACUAUAUGAAUAAGCACCGGCUAACUCCGUGCCAGCAGCCGCGGUAAUACGGAGGGUGCAAGCGUUACUCGGAAUCACUGGGCGUAAAGAGAAUGUAGGCGGGUAAUUAAGUCAGAAGUGAAAUCCAAUAGCUCAACUAUUGAACUGCUUUUGAAACUGAUAACCUAGAAUAUGGGAGAGGUAGAUGGAAUUUCUGGUGUAGGGGUAAAAUCCGUAGAGAUCAGAAGGAAUACCGAUUGCGAAGGCGAUCUACUGGAACAUUAUUGACGCUGAGAUUCGAAAGCGUGGGGAGCAAACAGGAUUA